GGCGAGAUGGCCGAGCGGUCUAAGGCGCCAGACUAAGGAUCAGCUUCAGUCUGAAGCAGAAUUUGCAGACUCACUGUUUGUAAUCUGGUCCUCCGGGGCGUGGGUUCGAAUCCCACUCUCGUCA